AGUUUGAUCCUGGCUCAGAGCGAACGCUGGCGGCAGGCCUAACACAUGCAAGUCGAACGAACUCUUCGGAGUUAGUGGCGGACGGGUGAGUAACACGUGGGAACGUGCCUUUAGGUUCGGAAUAACUCAGGGAAACUUGUGCUAAUACCGAAUGUGCCCUUCGGGGGAAAGAUUUAUCGCCUUUAGAGCGGCCCGCGUCUGAUUAGCUAGUUGGUGAGGUAAAGGCUCACCAAGGCGACGAUCAGUAGCUGGUCUGAGAGGAUGAUCAGCCACAUUGGGACUGAGACACGGCCCAAACUCCUACGGGAGGCAGCAGUGGGGAAUCUUGCGCAAUGGGCGAAAGCCUGACGCAGCCAUGCCGCGUGAAUGAUGAAGGUCUUAGGAUUGUAAAAUUCUUUCACCGGGGACGAUAAUGACGGUACCCGGAGAAGAAGCCCCGGCUAACUUCGUGCCAGCCGCCGCGGUAAUACA
rnacentral:rRNA from 1 species